ensembl:lncRNA
UACAAAUGCAUAAAUAAUGUUUUAUGCAUUUAUAAUUGGGGAAGUCAAUUAUUUGAGAGAUGUUCUGAAAUGUAAUGCACAGUUUACAGCUUUUAUCCCCUUUUUGGUAAUUUCAUGACUUAAAGGGAUAGUUCACCCAAAAAUGAAAAUUCUGUCAUCAUUUACUCACCCUCAUGUCGUUCUGUAUGAGUUUCUUUCUUAUGUUGAACAUAAAAUAAGAUAUUCUGAAGAUUGCUUUUAGCCAAACAGUUGGUGGUUCCCAUUGACUUCCUUAGUAGGAAAAAAAAUACUACGGAAGUCAAUGGCAACCAUCAACUGUUUGGUUACCAUCAACCAGCACCUCUUGAGCAAGAUAUUAUCAUGUAUGACUUUCUCAAAAGAAGGCUCGACUUCCGGUCGAUGAGUAUAUGUAUUCUUCACAGGAAGCUUUGGCUUUGAGGUUGAUGACAUUUAUAUUACUUUUUGUGACUCGUGGGCGUGUAUAAAUCGCUCCAUCUCAGACACACAGCAGACUCAGAGCAGCAGUGGAGACUCUUUCCAGCUCAUCAGUGAAAUGAAUGGCAGAACAUCUGUGGAGCUUCACAAACUGCAGGAAUCACGAAAUGACCAGCAAAGAGGACAAGAGACAGAAGAGAAACAGAGCAAGAAACGAGUCAGACGGAGCAGCUCUGUUAUAGACACACCAAACUUUUGUCAUGAUUCAGACAGACCUGCAGAGAUUCAGUCUGAUGAUCAAAAGAGAGACACUCACAGAUGAGGUGAGAUAUUGUAUAGUGAGGUAACCCACUCAAGCCCAGGUUACUGCACCUGUGGGGCAAUAGAUGCAUUAUUUAGAAAGCAGCAAAAACUUAUAAUGUGCUUAAGAACUGUAAGCUUAAUCGUUGUCAAAAGUAUUUAUUAAACAUUUAAAUUUUAUACUACAUAUAAUUUAAUUCUAUACUGUCAAAAUACAAUACUAACAGUAAUAUUCAUUUUUAAAUUUCAGAUGAUAAAGCAUCAAGCUUUUAUUACAGCAGAAAACACCAGAAAGCCCUUAAAGCUUCUCUUUUCUAUCAGUUUCUGGAGAAACCGAGCAUAAUGUGCUCUAAGACUGACUGAGAGACAGGACUUUUAUUCUGAGAGGAGCGAGAAUGGACACGAAUCACAAAACUGAUGGAAAAAGAUCCCCUCUUUAGCUCUGCUUGUGUUUUAUCUUCUUAUUCAGUCAUUAGCUCACAGAAGCGGUGGUAAUGCACAAGACUUUAGCUGCCGAGAAAUGAAGAUGACGAAGAAGAAGAAAGACCAAGAUGAAGGAGGAGGAAAUGAUGAAGAACAAUACAAACAUAGUUUGAGUUUUCUGGAUUUGUAUUUUACAGGACCAAAUUACAUUCUUUUCAUCUACCAAAAAUAACUUUAUUUCCGUUUGGGUUAUAUUUUUGUAUUUGAUUUUUGGAACUGUAUAUACAUAUUUGCACAGUUUUGAAGAACCACUUUUUUCACUUUGGGAAAUGAGUCCGUCUGUGUAUUUUUGUUUGAUCGGUUCUUCCUAACAUUGUGUUUUCAGAUGCAUUAGAAGCGUCUCAAACCGACCCACUGCUCUGAAAACACUGAUCAUUAUAUAUCAGUUCAUACAAUCUGAGUGUGUGUGAAUGUAUUUGAUAUUUGUAAAUAGUUGCAGGGUUUUUUUUUCUUUCAGGAUUUGAUUGUUUACAGUAAUCACUA